AUGCUCACUUCGGCAGCACAAACACUAAAAAUUGGGACAAUACGGAGAAGAUUAACAUGGCCCCUGCGCAAGAAUGACUCACAAAUUUGUGUAGAGUUUCAUAUUAAA